rnacentral:tRNA from 1 species
ACCUGGCUGGCUCAGUUGGUAGAGCAUGUGACUCUCGAUCUCAGGGUUGUGAGUUUGAGCCCCACAUUGGGCA